UGUAACUCAGUGGGAAUCACCAGCGUCAAGCCAGUCAGGUCAUCACAUACAGGAAGACCGCAGUGCAGCCGGAUACUUUACAAAAAUAAAACCAUUUCAAAAUAA